AGAAACCUGCCCCGAUCUCUGGGAUAACAGUUGGAAACGACUGCUAAUACCGGAUGCCAUCACACCGUCUCAUGGCGGAGUGAUGAAAGAUUUAUCGGAUUGGGAGGGUCUCGCGGCCUAUCAGCUAGUUGGAGAGGUAACGGCUCACCAAGGCAUCGACGGGUAGCUGGUCUGAGAGGAUGAUCAGCCACACUGGAACUGAGACACGGUCCAG
rnacentral:rRNA from 1 species